ensembl:lincRNA
CUUGACUCACACGUGCGAAUGCGUCUCCACGGCCGUGUGUGUGUAUGUGUGUGUGCAGCGUUGAGUCAUUGUGCGUUUGUGUUGCGCUGUUUUCAGUCCUCAGCUCAUCGCUCACCGAGAGUGUGUGUAAGAGCCUAUUAUCUAACCCAUCGCACCGCCCCUUUCCCCCUCCGCCCGCCCCCCGCCGCCGCGGCCGACCAAUCCGCCGCAGCCCCCGGCCCGGCCUGGGAAUAAAGCUCGCCGGCGAUUGGCCAGACGCCCCGCCGCUCCGCGGGCCCGGCGGCCAAUGGCGGCGCUCGACGGCGGCGGCGGAGCCCAAUGGGCGAGCGAGCGCUGUCGCCAGCGGACCCGAGCGAGCAGCUGUCGGAUCUGCAGCCUCUCCGCCCGAACCGGAUCCUGCCAGAGACACCGCGCGGACCCGCGGACCCACGGACCCACGCCAGGCGCCACUCCACCGCGCUCCCACGACCCGAGCCGAGCCGAGCCGAGCCGGACCGAGCCGGAGAGCGGGGUUCGGCGGGCGGAACCCGGGGGUACAGGCAGCGCACAGCUCGCGGGGGUGCGGGUGCGUGUGCGCGCUCUUCUCUUUCUGCCUAUUUUUUUUUGGGGGGGAGGGGGUGUGCGCGCGUGCGCGUGUACGUGGAGCCCCCUCUUCUGCUCCGAGCGGUAGCCCCCCCCCCCGCCGGACAGGGGCCUCGGCUGAGAUCUGGGGGUUCACGCGCGAGCGCAGAGGAUGCCCCCGUCGGCCGCGCGCCGCCCGCGUGAGCGACAGCCCGACAGAAUUCCUAGAAUCCUCUGUUUUUUCCCGGAGGGGAGGACAUCUUGGUCUCCGAGGCUGUGCCGCCUGGAGGUACCUGGAGGAAUUUCCGCCUGGCUGCAGUGAGAUUGAGCCGAGGAGAUAGAUCUGUGUUCUGGGCAGGCGGUAGUUGUGGAUUGGUCUUCUUCCUUCAGCCCUCGAUUGCGAAAGAGGCCGGGGAAUAGGGGGAGUAGGACCGCCUCGGAUGUCUCCCUAAAACCAAAUAAGGGAGUUGAUUAGGAGAAAGGACAAGACUCAGAUCCGAACACCAGGAUACAUGUCCAAUACCGGCAAAUAAAGAAUAAGAAUACUGACCCAGCUACUCCCGGAGAGAGGAGCCACACCCAGAGUCCCCUGCGCCUCCUCGGUCAGCCAAUCCGCUCCGACCACCGGUCUCUCCAUCAGCCAAUCAGACAGCAUCUGCCCGAGCGCCAGUGCCUCCGCCGCCAGCUGCAUUUCCCCUGCCGAGCCUGAGCCACGCGAGGGGGCGCUGUUUCUCGGCCCAACGCGUCGUUAUUCCUUCUCUCUGGGACAGAGUUACGCUGCCGCUGAGUUCGGAAGUAGCGCGUUGCAAAUUCUCGGGAUCCUCGCGCUCCAGGGUGCGCAGCACUGCCGAGCCCUUCCCCUUGACGUCUCCUUCAUCGGCGUGGGACGUUCCGGGUUGGUGUCACUGGGCAGGGAGAUGGUCAGUCCAGCGGCCCGCUGAAGACUGGUUCUUUACCGAUUCAUUGAUAGCCCAGCCCGUCAGAGGAGCAGUCUGCGGCUGUCUUCACCGAUACAGCGGUGAGAUCUGGGAUACCGGGAGCAGCCCAGAGGCUGGAUGACCGGGAUCAUAUUGUAGCCGGUCUGUCGCUGCUGAUUCCUGGGAUCCUCUCCUUCGGGAUGGGUCCCGCUGUCCUCCUUGUCGUUUCCAGAGCGCCGAGCGGCGAGGAGUCCAGAGAGAGGACUGCCCUGCCCCCUCGGGGUCCCGCGAGCCCUUGAGC